rnacentral:misc_RNA from 1 species
CAUUGCGCCCUCUGGUAUUCCGGAGGGCAUGCCUGUUCGAGCGUCAUUUCAACCCUCAAGCACUGCUUGGUGUUGGGGCACUGCUUUUAACCGAGCAGGCCCUGAAAUCUAGUGGCGAGCUCGCCAGGACCCCGAGCGCAGUAGUUAAACCCUCGCUCUGGAAGGCCCUGGCGGUGCCCUGCCGUUAAACCCCCAACUUCUGAAAA